rnacentral:misc_RNA from 1 species
AUCAAUGUCCUUCCAAUCGUCGGCAUGGCCAUCAAGGGUGACAAGUCCAGGCCUGAACUCGGCUUGCACUCGGAUUCCCGAGUCGGACUCACAUCUCCACUCACCGGACUCCUGGUGCGAGCUGGCCCACCCGAUCCAAACGGAGACCAGAACCAAUAAGACCAACGAGACUCGAGCCAUUGUAAGCGAUGAAGUUUCCUUGCUGUAUAGAGACGGUGCUGCGUUGGCGUGCUCUUGGCCUGCAUUCCUUGGGCGACUCUAGCUUGUGUUAUAAUUUGCGCUUGACUUUGGAUUUUUAGGAAAUAAUCCAGGAAAGGAAAAGAGUUGGUACUAAUUUUCAGCCUUGUACUACCGAUGGAGAGAGAAGCAUGGACCA